rnacentral:rRNA from 1 species
ACGCUCGACACCUCGGAGGCAGCAGUGGGGAAUAUUGCACAAUGGGGGAAACCCUGAUGCAGCGACGCCGCGUGAGUGAAGAAGUAUUUCGGUAUGUAAAGCUCUAUCAGCAGGGAANAAAAUGACGGUACCUGACUAAGAAGCCCCGGCUAACUACGUGCCAGCAGCCGCGGUAAUCUGAGCGGCUGGCAAGGC